GGGCGGAUAGUUCAGUGGUAGAAUAUCUGUUUUGCAAUGUCUUGUUUUCCCUAAGUGCUGCUCUUACAGACCGUGUUCAAACCAUGGUUUGUCCA